rnacentral:tRNA from 1 species
CUUUCUCUAGUUUAAAUAGAACAAUUGUUUUGCAUACAAUAAGUAGGAAUACCUGAGGAGGU